CGAUGGCUGUGUUUUUGGGGACUUGUGACCCGGGCCCCCAUCUGAGGGGCGGCUGUGUCCCAUAGGUUGUCCCUGUUGUCCCCUGGAA
rnacentral:sRNA from 13 species